rnacentral:rRNA from 1 species
AUUGAACGCUGGCGGCAGGCCUAACACAUGCAAGUCGAGCGGAUGAAGGGAGCUUGCUCCUGGAUUCAGCGGCGGACGGGUGAGUAAUGCCUAGGAAUCUGCCUGGUAGUGGGGAUAACGUCCGGAAACGGGCGCUAAUACCGCAUACGUCCUGAUGGAGAAAGUGGGGGAUCUUCGGACCUCACGCUAUCAGAUGAGCCUAGGUCGGAUUAGCUAGUUGGUGGGGUAAAGGCCUACCAAGGCGACGAUCCGUAACUGGUCUGAGAGGAUGAUCAGUCACACUGGAACUGAGACACGGUCCAGACUCCUACGGGAGGCAGCAGUGGGGAAUAUUGGACAAUGGGCGAAAGCCUGAUCCAGCCAUGCCGCGUGUGUGAAGAAGGUCUUCGGAUUGUAAAGCACUUUAAGUUGGGAGGAAGGGCAGUAAGUUAAUACCUUGCUGUUUUGACGUUACCAACAGAAUAAGCACCGGCUAACUUCGUG